rnacentral:rRNA from 1 species
UACGAAGGGGGCUAGCGUUGCUCGGAAUCACUGGGCGUAAAAGGGUGCGUAGGCGGGUCUUUUAAGUCAGGGGUGAAAUCCUGGAGCUCAACUCCAGAACUGCCUUUGAUACUGAGGAUCUUGAGUUCGGGAGAGGUGAGUGGGAACUCCGAGUGUAGAGGUGAAAUUCGUAGAUAUUCGGAAGAACACCAGUGGCGAAGGCGGCUCACUGGCCCGGUACUGACGCUGAGGUGCGAAAGCGUGGGGAGCAAACAGG